rfam:Oryza glumipatula chromosome 6, whole genome shotgun sequence.
GAUAUCAACUGAAAAAGUCAUCAACAACAAAGUUGAAUAACUCAUCAAGAUCUAAAACUUUUAUUUUGGUCAUUUUCUUCAUACGACAAAGUGAUAGUAACAUUGUUCACAAAAUUGACAUAUCUCUUAUCUGGUUUUAUAAACUAUAACACAUAUAUGUAAAAUUUGUGAAUAAUAUUACUAACAUUUCAUCGGAUGAAGAAAUAACAAAAAUAAAAGUUUUAGAUCUUGAUGAGUUAUUCAACUUUGUUGUUGAUGUUUUUUUCAUUUGAAAUC